GCAUCCGUAGCUCAGCUGGAUAGAGUACUCGGCUACGAACCGAGCGAUCGGAGGUUCGAAUCCUCCCGGAUGCACCA
rnacentral:tRNA from 2 species